UACGAGGGGGGCAAGCGUUGUUCGGAAUUAUUGGGCGUAAAGGGUGCGUAGGCGGUUUGGUAAGUCUUAUGUGAAAUCUACAGGCUCAACUGAUAGUCUGCAUGAGAAACUGCCGGGCUUGAGUAUGGGAGAGGUGAGUGGAAUUCCUGGUGUAGCGGUGGAAUGCGCAGAUAUCAGGAGGAACACCGAUGGCGAAGGCAGGUCUCUGGGCCAUUACUGACACUGAGAAGCGAAAGCAUGGGGAGCGAACAGG
rnacentral:rRNA from 1 species